rfam:Carnobacterium maltaromaticum LMA28 complete genome
CGAGACUUAGCUCCCUACAACUUGAUUUGAUGAAGCGUUGUAUGGAGC